rnacentral:rRNA from 1 species
AUUGAACGCUAGCGGGAUGCUUUACACAUGCAAGUCGAACGAGUCGCGGACGGGUGACCAAUGUAUCUGAACGUGCCCAGUAGCUGGGGAUAACUAAUGGAAAGUGUUGCCAAUACCGCCUACUAGUGCAGAGGCCGAUAUCGGAUGGGCUAGUUGUUGGGGUAAAGGCUGACAAGGGCAACGAUCCGGAGCUGGUUUGAGAGGACGACCAGCCAAACUGGGACUGAGACACGGCCCAGACUCCUACGGGAGGCAGGAGUGGGGAAUUUUGGACAAUGGGGGAAACCCUGAUCCGGCCAUGCCGCGUGUGUGAGAAGGGCUUCGGGUUGUAAAGCACUUUAGGCAGAGAAGCGGUAUCUGCAGAAUAAGCACCGGCUAACUACGUGCCAGCAGCCGCGGUAAUAC